UUCGUAGGCGGUGCGGCAAGUCGGGAGUGAAAUCUCUGGGCUCAACCCAGAGGCUGCUUCCGAAACUGCUGUGCUUGAGUGUGAGAGAGGCUCGUGGAAUUGCAGGUGUAGCGGUGAAAUGCGUAGAUAUCUGCAGGAACACCCGUGGCGAAAGCGGCGAGCUGGAUCACUACUGACGCUGAGGAACGAAAGCUAGGGGAGCAAACAGGAUUAGAUACCCUGGUAGUCCUAGCCCUAAACGAUCAGGACUUGGGGUGCCGCCCGUUCGGGCGUCGUCCCGGAGCUAACGCGUUAAGUCCUGCACCUGGGAGUACGGUCGCAAGACUGAA
rnacentral:rRNA from 1 species